CUCGAACGGACGCCUCCUCCUGCCGGCGCCGGGCUAGCAGCUGUAGCUUCCAGUCUGGGAUGGUGGCCAUGGUUGUCUUGAGGUGAGGGUAGGGAGCACUGGGGACAGAGAACAGGAAGGCUGGGGAAAUGGAAAAAGUGAAGAGAAGUUGUGAGCCCAAGUUGGGGGUGGUGGGGGUGAUGUGAGAGGAAGAGUCCGGAUUGGAGGCAAUGAGGGCAGGAGCCAGAUGUGGCAGCACAGGGUUAAUGCGUAUUAAAGACCGUCUCUAGGAUGUGAGAAAGAGAGAGAAGGACGAAAAGGAAAGUUGGCGUGAGGGAGAAGAGAGAAAUGUGGCAGGGGUGAGGGGAACCUGGGUGCAGGCCAGGCUGCCUCAGCGAUACCCCAGGGAGGCUAGUGUGGGAAGGAAGGACCAGGAAUCCCUGAAAGGACCAGGAGGCAACGGGACCUGAGGGGGUGUUGGGGAGGCAAGGAGGGGCGGAGAGCGAACAGGUCUAGAGGAGAAGGGAAACCAGGGAAGAGGGGAAAGGAGCGCGGCGGCAGCAGCCGGGCGCGUCUCAGCGCGGGCCCCAAAGGUCCCGGCUCCGCUUCCAGCACCGCUCGGGCCACGCCUCUCCCCAGCCCCCACCCCUCUGCCCCGCACUCCGCCCCCGAGGCGGGUCGGGGGAAAUACCCACCCCCCGAGACUUUCGGAACCCGGGCGUCAGGGCUGCCAGCGCGUUCCCAGAACCCUGGCGUCCACCCCCACCCUGUCCUGUCACCACCGCCUGCCUCCCCCACCGACUGCGCCACGCGACCCCAGAGUGCCAAGGGCCGGCUCCAUGUCUCUUCUCCCCGGCGCCUGCAAGUCCUGCGCCCCGUCCCCGCUCUCAUGAAGCCGUGACAGAGCCGGCCGUCUCCACCCCGCUGUAGCCGCACAGACUGACAAUCUCGGCACAAAGAGGAGACAGCCAAGGUCCGGGCCAGGGACGGGAGCAAGGACAGGGGCGAGGAGACACCCACUCCCCAAGUCUGAGCCCCUCAGUCAACUCACACGCCGCGGGACCCCCGGGGGAGGGGGUGCGGAGGAGCC
rnacentral:lncRNA from 1 species